AUUGAACGCUGGCGGCAUGCCUUACACAUGCAAGUCGAGCGGCAGCGCGGGGGCAACCCUGGCGGCGAGCGGCGAACGGGUGAGUAAUACAUCGGAACGUGUCCUGUCGUGGGGGAUAACCAGUCGAAAGAUUGGCUAAUACCGCAUGACCUCGUAAGAGAAAAGCGGGGGAUCGCAAGACCUCGCGCGAUUGGAGCGGCCGAUGUCGGAUUAGCUAGUUGGCGGGGUAAAAGCCCACCAAGGCUACGAUCCGUAGCUGGUUUGAGAGAACGACCAGCCACACUGGGACUGAGACACGGCCCAGACUCCUACGGGAGGCAGCAGUGGGGAAUUUUGGACAAUGGGGGCAACCCUGAUCCAGCCAUGCCGCGUGUGUGAAGAAGGCCUUCGGGUUGUAAAGCACUUUCGGCCGGAACGAAAUCGCGCGGGCUAAUACCCAGCGUGGAUGACGGUACCGGAAGAAGAAGCACCGGCUAACUACGUGCCAGCCGCCGCCGUAAGAC
rnacentral:rRNA from 1 species